rnacentral:tRNA from 1 species
GCCGCGAUAGUGUAGUGGUCUAGCAUCAGGGACUGUCGCUCCUUGAACCCGGGUUCAAAUCCCGGUCGCGGCG